rnacentral:rRNA from 1 species
CUACCCUUGACAUGUACCGAAGCCCGAUGAGAGUUGGGUGUGCCCGAAAGGGAGCGGUAACACAGGUGCUGCAUGGCUGUCGUCAGCUCGUGUCGUGAGAUGUUGGGUUAAGUCCCGCAACGAGCGCAACCCUUGUCAUUAGUUGCUACAUUCAGUUGGGCACUCUAAUGAGACUGCCGGUGACAAACCGGAGGAAGGUGGGGAUGACGUCAAGUCCUCAUGGCCCUUAUGGGUAGGGCCUCACACGUCAUACAAUGGCGCAUACAGAGGGUUGCCAACCCGCGAGGGGGAGCCAAUCCCAGAAAGUGCGUCGUAGUCCGGAUCGGAGUCUGCAACUCGACUCCGUGAAGUCGGAAUCGCUAGUAAUCGCGGAUCGGCAUGUCGCGGUGAAUACGUUCCCGGGUCUUGUACACACCGCCCGUCACACCAUGGGAGCGGGUUCUACCAGAAGUAGCUAGCCUAACCGCAAGGGGGGCGGUUACCACGGUAGGAUUCGUGACUGGGGUG